CACGUAGGGUGCGAGCGUUGUCCGGAAUUAUUGGGCGUAAAGAGCUCGUAGGCGGUGUGUCGCGUCGGCCGUGAAAACCUGCAGCUUAACUGUGGGCUUGCGGUCGAUACGGGCAUCACUGGAGUUCGGCAGGGGAGACUGGAAUUCCUGGUGUAGCGGUGGAAUGCGCAGAUAUCAGGAGGAACACCGGUGGCGAAGGCGGUUCUCUGGGCAUUACCUGACGCUGAGGAGCGAAAGUGUGGGGAGCGAACAGG
rnacentral:rRNA from 1 species